GAGUUUGAUCGUGGCUCAGAUUGAACGCUGGCGGCAUGCCUUACACAUGCAAGUCGAACGGCAGCAUGAUCUAGCUUGCUAGAUUGAUGGCGAGUGGCGAACGGGUGAGUAAUACGUCGGAACGUGCCCUGUAGUGGGGGAUAACUAGUCGAAAGAUUAGCUAAUACCGCAUACGACCUGAGGGUGAAAGUGGGGGACCGCAGGGCCUCAUGCUAUAGGAGCGGCCGAUGUCUGAUUAGCUAGUUGGUGGGGUAAAGGCCCACCAAGGCGACGAUCAGUAGCUGGUCUGAGAGGACGAUCAGCCACACUGGGACUGAGACACGGCCCAGACUCCUACGGGAGGCAGCAGUGGGGAUUUUGGACAAUGGGCGAAAGCCUGAUCCAGCAAUGCCGCGUGUGUG
rnacentral:rRNA from 1 species